UGUAGGAGUUGGGAACCAUCAUUGGAGUAUGACUAUACUUGUAGAAGCGUCACAAAAUUUUCAAUUUAAAAUGCCAUUUAGUUCCAGCACAAAGAGUUGUCUCAGCAUGGGUAUCUAACGAUGCUGAUAAGCAUGGCUAGAAAACAUUAUAACGUGGUUUUUUGCAAUAUCUAUAAGCAUCAUUAGGAAACACUAUAACAUGGUCAUUUGCGACACUUAUGAGCAUCACCAAGGUUUUUUAAAUAAAAAAUAUAAAAAGAUGUUCUACAAUG
rnacentral:lncRNA from 1 species